AACGAACGCUGGCGGCAUGCCUAAUACAUGCAAGUCGAACGAGACCUCCGGGUCCAGUCGCGCACGGGUUCGUAACGCGACGGAACCUGCCCUCAGGGUUGGAAUAACUCUACGAAAGGGGUGCCAACACCGGACCAUGUCUUCGGACGAAAGAUUUAUCGACUUUGGAUGGGCCCGCGUGGGAUUAGAUGGUUGGUAGGGUAAAAGACGCCCACGGCGAGGAUCCAUAGCUGGUUUCAGAGACUGAUCAGCAACACUGGGAUGGAGACACGGCCCGGACUCCUCCGGGAGGCAGCAGUGCGGAAUAUUGCACCGUGGGCGGAAGCCUGAUCCAGCUCUGCCGCGUGAGCGAUGAAGGUCUUAGGGUUGUAAUGCUCUUUUAACCGUGAUGAUAAUGACAGUACCGGGAGAAUAAGCUCCGGCUAACUACGUG
rnacentral:rRNA from 1 species